UUACGGCUCAGUAACACGUGGACAACUGCCCUUCAGCGGGAAACAACCUCGGGAAACUGAGGCUAAUGUCCCAUAGGCGACAGACUCUGGAAUGACUGUCGCUGAAAGGACUGGCUUGUUCCAGCCAGUUCCGCUAAAGGAUGGGUCUGCGGCGGAUUAGGCUGAUGUUAGGGUAACGGCCUAACAUACCUACAAUCCGUACCGGCUAUGAGAGUAGGAGCCGGGAGAUGGAUACUGAGACAAAGAUCCAGGCUCUACGGAGCGCAGCAGGCGCGAAAACUCUGCAAUGCGCGCAAGCGUGACAGGGGAACUCCGAGUGUGUUUGUAAAACAAGCACUUUUGUAGUAUGUAAAAAGUACUGCGAAUAAGGGGUGGGCAAGACUAGUGCCAGCCUCCGCGGUAACACUAGCAACCCGAGUGGUAGUCGUUCUUAUUUGGCUUAAAGCGUCCGUAGUCGGAUCGUUAAGUUCUCUGUGAAAUCCUACAGCUUAACUGCAGGGCUUGCAGAGAAUACUGGCGGUCUUGGAGCCGGGUGAGGUUGGGGGUAUUCCUGGGGUAGCGGCGAAAUGCUAUAAUCCUGGGAGGACCACCGAUAGCGAAGGCACCCAACUAGAACGGGCUCGACGAUGAGGGACGAGAGCUAGGGGAGCAAACCGGAUUAGAUACCCGGGUAGUCCUAGCCGUAAACGAUGCAGGCUGAGUGUCUCCUGAACCUCGAGUUCAGGAGGUGCUGAAGGGAAACCGUUAAGCCU
rnacentral:rRNA from 1 species